rnacentral:tRNA from 1 species
GCCCCCAUAGCUCAGGGGAUAGAGCGUCUGCCUCCGGAGCAGAAGGCCGUAGGUUCAAAUCCUACUGGGGGCACCUCAA